rnacentral:tRNA from 1 species
GGCCGUGUGGCGUAAUGGCAACGCGUCUGACUACGAAUCAGGAGAUUGCAGGUUCGACCCUUGUCUCGGUCA